AACGCUGGCGGCAGGCCUAACACAUGCAAGUCGAACGCUCUCUUCGGAGGGAGUGGCGCACGGGUGAGUAACGCGUGGGAACCUACCCUGGGGUACGGAAUAACAGCGGGAAACUGCUGCUAAUACCGUAUACGCCUUUAGGGGGAAAGAUUUAUCGCCCUGGGAUGGGCCCGCGUCCGAUUAGUUAGUUGGUGGGGUAACGGCCUACCAAGGCUUCGAUCGGUAGCUGGUCUGAGAGGAUGAUCAGCCACACUGGGACUGAGACACGGCCCAGACUCCUACGGGAGGCAGCAGUGGGGAAUCUUGGACAAUGGGGGCAACCCUGAUCCAGCCAUGCCGCGUGAGUGAAGAAGGCCUUAGGGUUGUAAAGCUCUUUCAGUGGUGACGAUGAUGACGGUAGCCACAGAAGAAGCCCCGGCUAACUCCGUGCCAGCAGCCGCGGUAAU
rnacentral:rRNA from 1 species